UACGUAGGGGGCCAGCGUUGUCCGGAAUCAUUGGGCGUAAAGCGCGCGUAGGCGGCCAGAUAAGUCCGGUGUGAAAGUCACAGGCUCAACCUGUGAAUGCCGCUGGAAACUGUCUGGCUAGAGUCCGGAAGGGGCGAGUGGAAUUCCUGGUGUAGCGGUGAAAUGCGCAGAUAUCAGGAGGAACACCAAUUGCGAAGGCAGCUCGCUGGGACGUUACUGACGCUGAGACGCGAAAGCGUGGGGAGCAAACAGG
rnacentral:rRNA from 1 species